ACCAGGCUAGCUUCAAACGCAACGAUCCUCCUGUCUCUGCCUCCUGAGUGCUGGGAUUAAAGGAGUGUGCCACCCCCUUGCCAUAUAGCCUGCAUAUCUUAACACAUAAAAAUAACAUACAAAAGCUUGUUUCUCUUUAGCUAGUCUUAGGAAAGCCACAGAUGGUGUUUGGAGGUUCUCUUCUCUGUGUAUGAGCGUAAGAGGGCAUCCCUGACAGUUGAGAAAUGUUCUGAGAUAAUUCUGGAAUCAAACUGUCUGCGUCUGAAUCCCCAUGGGAGCUUAGGCAGACGACCUCCUCUUUGGGCCUCAUCUGAAGGGAGAUGAAGAUGGCUUGGAAUCGUGCCCGCAGCCAGCACGGUGUGAAGGAUGUUGAUGAAGGUGGUAGAGUUGGUGAUGGAGACGCUGCCGCUGAUAGCGACUGUGAAGACCAGCUGUCAGCUUGAUCUGGAAUCAACUAAAACUCCUGGGAGAGGUUUUCUUGAUCAUAUUAUCUGAGGUGGUAAGACUCACCCUAAGUGCGGGUGUCGACUUCCUCUGGCAGUCCAGAUAGAAGAAUGUGGAGGGAGGAAACUGCUUUUCGCCUGCUGGCCCUCAUCCUUACUGUUGGCAAGGUCAUCUAUCCUGCUGCCGAGGAAUUCCCUCCGUCACCAGAAUCAGAGCCAAACUCUUCAUUUCUUUCUUCUUGUUAAGUUACAGUGGCAUUUAAAAUUUUUAUUUAUUUCUAUUUCAUGCACAUUGGCAUUUUGCCUACAUUCAUGUCGUGUGAAGGCAUUGGAUCCCUUGGAACUAGAGUUAUAGACAGUUGGAAAUUGUCAUUUGGGUGCUAGGAAUUGAACUCCGGUCCUCUGGAAGAACAGCCAGUGUUCUUAAUCACUGAGCCAUCUCUCCCUAGAAUCUAGAGCCCAACUCUUAUGGGUUCCAAUACAGACUGAAGAUCGGCAGCUCUAGGAAUCCUCUCUAGGCCUUCAGUACCAUUCUAGGAUUUCUGAGGCAUCCAGUCACAUGGCCCAAGAAACUACAGGACUCUUAUCCUCUCCAGUGAGAGCCAGCCAUUGUUGGAUUAGCUGGACCAUAUUAUUAUUUCCAGGGAGGAGCCAAACAAGCAAGCUACAACACCAGACUUUGGAGCCAGAAGAGAGAUGAGUACCACCAUUGACUGUCGUUGGCCAUCAUUGGCUGUCAUCGGCUGUCACUGACUGUCCCUCCAGAACAGCUAAGAACAUUCUUCACCUGUUCAGCUUAAAAAUAAAUUUAAAAAAUA
rnacentral:sRNA from 1 species